rnacentral:lncRNA from 1 species
UUUUGAGUGUAAAUUGACAUUGCGAUAAGACGUGUCACGGUACUUGUCUAUCCCAAAUUCAUGUAUUUGGUUUUGAUGUUAUAUUUGUUAUUCUCGUGGGAUUUUGUCUGAUGCUUGGUCCGUUUCUGUGUGUGUUACAUUGUAGUGUUGUGUCGUUGUUCUCUUAUAUUUAUGCGUUUCCCUCAGUUUUAGUUUGUUACCCCG